AGUGAACGCUGGCGGCGUGCCUAAUACAUGCAAGUCGAACGGAGUGGCGCACGGGUGGGUAAUGUAUAGCUAAUCUGCCCUACACUAGAGGACAACCGUUGGAAACGACUGCUAAUACUCUAUAGUGUAGGAUGAGGCUAUAUUGUAUCAGCUAGUUGGUGAGGUAAUGGCUCACCAAGGCUAUGACGCAUAACUGGUCUGAGAGGAUGAGCAGUCACACGGGAACUGAGAGACGGGCCAGACUCCGACGGGGGGGAGAAGGAGGGAAUAUUGCUCAAUGGGGGAAACCCUGAAGCAGCAAGGCCGCGUGGAGGAUGACACGUUUCGGAGCGGAAACUCCUUUUGUUAUGGAAGCGGUACCUAACGAAUAAGCACCGGCUAACUCCGUGCCAGCAGCCGCGGUAAUUC
rnacentral:rRNA from 1 species